UACGUAGGGUGCGAGCGUUGUCCGGAAUUAUUGGGCGUAAAGAGCUUGUAGGCGGUUUGUCGCGUCUGCUGUGAAAAUCCGGGGCUCAACCCCGGACUUGCAGUGGGUACGGGCAGACUAGAGUGUGGUAGGGGAGACUGGAAUUCCUGGUGUAGCGGUGGAAUGCGCAGAUAUCAGGAGGAACACCGAUGGCGAAGGCAGGUCUCUGGGCCACUACUGACGCUGAGAAGCGAAAGCAUGGGGAGCGAAUAGG
rnacentral:rRNA from 1 species